UAUCUCUGUAGAGUCUGCAUAUCAAUAAGCGGAGGAAAAGAAACUAACUAGGAUUCCCUCAGUAACGGCGAGUGAAGCGGGAAGAGCUCAAAUUUGAAAUCUUCAAGGUUUUACCUUGACGAAUUGUAGUUUAAAGAAGUGUUUUCUGUUGGUGUUUUGGUAAAAGUUCUUUGGAAUAGGACAUCAUAGAGGGUGAGAAUCCCGUAUUUGACCAUUACUUCCAGCGUUGUGAUACACUUUCAAAGAGUCGGAUUGUUUGGGAAUGCAGUCCAAAAUGGGUGGUAAAUUUCAUCUAAAGCUAAAUAUUGGCGAGAGACCGAUAGCGAACAAGUACCGUGAGGGAAAGAUGAAAAGAACUUUGAAAAGAGAGUUAAACAGUACGUGAAAUUGUCAAAAGGGAAGCGUUUGACACCAGUGUUGUUUUCUCGAAAAUCAAUUAAAAAAGAUUGGAUUUUGUGUUGUAUUGACUUUAUCAGCUUUCAGCACUCUUUUUCUUGUCUUUUUUAAUGCACUUUUCGCUUAACAAGUCAACAUCAAUUUCUUUUGUUGUAAAAGGGUCAUUGGAAGGUGGCUUUCUUUUCGGAGAAAGUGUUUAUAGCCUUUGACUUCUGCAAUCGGAGAGAUUGAGGUCUGCAGCGUAGAUCCUUCGGGGUUAGAUAGCAUUUGUGCUAAGCUAUAGCCUUUCAUAGACAACUUGUUGACUAUGAUCAGUCAUGUAGCUUACUCGCUUAUGCUAUUUUACCUACGCUUAGGAUGUUGAUCUCUCACAGUCGAGC
rnacentral:rRNA from 1 species